rnacentral:rRNA from 1 species
GACGAACGCUGGCGGCGUGCUUAACACAUGCAAGUCGAACGGAAAGGCCCUGCUUUUGUGGGGUGCUCGAGUGGCGAACGGGUGAGUAACACGUGAGUAACCUGCCCUUGACUUUGGGAUAACUUCAGGAAACUGGGGCUAAUACCGGAUAGGAGCUCCUGCUGCAUGGUGGGGGUUGGAAAGUUUCGGCGGUUGGGGAUGGACUCGCGGCUUAUCAGCUUGUUGGUGGGGUAGUGGCUUACCAAGGCUUUGACGGGUAGCCGGCCUGAGAGGGUGACCGGCCACAUUGGGACUGAGAUACGGCCCAGACUCCUACGGGAGGCAGCAGUGGGGAAUAUUGCACGAUGGGCGGAAGCCUGAUGCAGCAACGCCGCGUGCGGGAUGACGGCCUUCGGGUUGUAAACCGCUUUCGCCUGUGACGAAGCGUGAGUGACGGUAAUGGGUAAAGAAGCACCGGCUAACUACGU